rnacentral:rRNA from 1 species
UACGAAGGGUGCAAACGUUGCUCGGAAUCAUUGGGCGUAAAGCGCACGUAGGCGGCUUCGCAAGUCGGAUGUGAAAUCCCUCGGCUCAACCGUGGACGUGCAUCCGAAACUGCGGAGCUUGAGUACUGAAGAGGAUCGCGGAAUUCCCGGUGUAGAGGUGAAAUUCGUAGAUAUCGGGAGGAACACCAGUGGCGAAGGCGGCGUCCUGGACCAACACUGACACUGAUGAGCGAAAGCCAGGGGAGCAAACGGG